GAUGAAGAACGCAGCGAAAUGCGAUACUUGGUGUGAAUUGCAGAAUCCCGUGAACCAUCGAGUCUUUGAACGCAAGUUGCGCCCGAAGCCAUUAGGCCGAGGGCACGCCUGCCUGGGCGUCACACGUCGUUGCCCCCCCAUCUACUCCUUCGGGAUUGCGGGGGGCGGAUGAUGGCCUCCCGUGCGCCUCGUCGCGCGGUUGGCAUAAAUGCCAAGUCCUCGGCGACGCACGCCACGACAAUCGGUGGUUGCGAAACCUCGGUUGCCCGUCGUGUGCGGUCGUCGCGCAUCGAGGGCUCGAAAAAAUUGCCGGGCUCCGGCUCGGCUUUCAACGCGACCCCAGGUCAGGCGGGGUUACCCGCUGAAUUUAAGCUUAUCAAUAAGCGGAGGA
rnacentral:misc_RNA from 1 species